rnacentral:rRNA from 1 species
CAAUAGCGUAUAUUUAAGUUGCUGCAGUUAAAAAGCUCGUAGUUGAAUUUCGGGUGGGAAUGGCCGGUCCGCCGUUUCGGUGUGCACUUGCUACGCCCACCUUGCUGCCGGGGACGUGCUCUUGAGUUCACGCUCGGGACACGGAGUCGGCGAGGUUACUUUGAGUAAAUUAGAGUGUUCAAAGCAGGCCUACGCUCUGAAUACAUUAGCAUGGAAUAACACGAUAGGACUCUGGCCUAUCUUGUUGGUCUGUAGGACCGGAGUAAUGAUUAAGAGGGACAGUCGGGGGCAUUCGUAUUUCAUUGUCAGAGGUGAAAUUCUUGGAUUUAUGAAAGACGAACUACUGCGAAAGCAUUUGCCAAGGAUGUUUUCAUUAA